rnacentral:rRNA from 1 species
AUUUGGCCUAAGCGUCCGUAGCCGGCCGUGUAAGUUUCCCGUUAAAUCCAGCGUCUCAAGCGUUGGACUGCGGGAGUACUGUACGGCUAGAGAGUGGGAGAGGUCAGCGGUAUUCUGGGGGUAGGGGCGAAAUCCUUUGAUCCCCGGAGGACCACCAGUGGCGAAGGCUGCUGACUAGAACACGUCUGACGGUCAGGGACGAAAGCUGGGGUAGCGAACCGGAUUAGAUACCCGGGUAGUCCCAGCCGUAAACGAUGCAUGCUAGGUGUUGGGUUGCAGCCACCCCAGUGCCGCAGGGAAGCCGUUAAGCAUGCCGCCUGGGAAGUACGAUCGCAAGAUUGAAACUUAAAGGAAUUGGCGGGGGAGCAC